rnacentral:tRNA from 1 species
GGAUUGUGGCUCAGAGGUAGCAUGCUCGCCUAGCACUCGUGAGACACUGAGUUCAAUCCUCAGCACCA